GACAGAAGGGGCAAGCGUUGCUCGGAAUCACUGGGCGUAAAGGGCGCGUAGGCGGGGCCGCAAGUCGAUCGUGAAAUCCUUCGGCUCAACUGUGGGCUUGCAGCUGAUACGGGCGGGCUAGAAUUCGGUAGGGGAGACUGGAAUUCCUGGUGUAGCGGUGAAAUGCGCAGAUAUCAGGAGGAACACCGGUGGCGAAGGCGGGUCUCUGGGCCGAUAUUGACGCUGAGGAGCGAAAGCGUGGGGAGCGAACAGG
rnacentral:rRNA from 1 species